GGACUAUAUAGAGAGUGUGAGCGCAGCANUUAACUUGGNCCGAUCCCUUGUAUAAACUUACAAAGCCCCCUCAGUGGGGUCGUGGAUUUAUAGNUAUCCACAAGGUGUGCCGAAUACAAAUCGUCGAAGAUUUGCCUAAUUAGCCGAUGACUACGCGCCUUGGAACGUUCAUGUUAGUGCUUGUUGCAUUCCCACCGCUCAAAAAACUAUUCAUCGGUUUUUAAUUUAAUUUGCCUCCACACACGCGCGAUUGUGAAUUCGGUGAGGUCAUGAACUUUCUUGAUAUGCUGCGAGACAAUGAUUGGUUUGUAGGGUGCUUUGCCAAACCUUACGGCAUACAAUAGGUUCGGCUCAACGUAUAAAAGUAUGGAACUACCUCAGGAGUUGGCAUUCCCCCUAUGUACUCUUACCUCAAUCCCCGUUUGCUUUGCGCCUACUUUUUAUUCU
rnacentral:rRNA from 1 species